rnacentral:rRNA from 1 species
CCUACGGGAGGCAGCAGUGGGGAAUUUUGGACAAUGGGCGCAAGCCUGAUCCAGCAAUGCCGCGUGAGUGAAGAAGGCCUUCGGGUUGUAAAGCUCUUUUGUCAGGGAAGAAACGGCUGAGGCGAAUACCUUUGGCUAAUGACGGUACCUGAAGAAUAAGCACCGGCUAACUACGUGCCAGCAGCCGCGGUAAUACGUAGGGUGCAAGCGUUAAUCGGAAUUACUGGGCGUAAAGCGUGCGCAGGCGGUUUUGUAAGUCUGACGUGAAAUCCCCGGGCUCAACCUGGGAAUUGCGUUGGAGACUGCAAGGCUGGAGUCUGGCAGAGGGGGGUAGAAUUCCACGUGUAGCAGUGAAAUGCGUAGAGAUGUGGAGGAACACCGAUGGCGAAGGCAGCCCCCUGGGUCAAGACUGACGCUCAUGCACGAAAGCGUGGGGAGCAAACAGGAUUAGAUACCCUGGUAGUCCACGCCCUAAACGAUGUCUACUAGUUGUCGGGUCUUAAUUGACUUGGUAACGCNGCGACGCGUGAGUAGACCGCCGUGGGAGGUAACGGUCGCGAGAGUUAAACGUUACGAAGAAGUUAGACGGCGNGAGACGNGCGACGGACGACGACGAGGGAGGAGG